CAAAUGUCCUUGAUUCUUUCUCCCCAAACUAACAAGAUCUUAAUUAAGCUUCACUCCGGCAGACAAUUCAGAGAUAAGCUAAGUGCCAGUUGCCGGGGCGCUUCUAGAGGCCAAGGCUUUAACAGCCACCAUCCAGUCAUGGGAAGACUAGGACUGGGAAGUGGAAUUUUAUUGCCAAAGUGGGAUGCUUUUGAGAGUAAAAGAGGUGCUAUUAAUACGUAUACAGGAAUAACAGCUGUAAACCAGAACUGUCUUAGGCAAACUGGGAUGUAUGAUCCCCCUUUCUAGAAUGGUGUUUUUCAGAAGCACUCUGCAAUGCAAAAAAUGUAGUCUGCUUUUCGGCAUGUAACUCAGAACUCCUGCUGAUGAACAGGAAUCCUCCAAGACAAAUCUGACUCCUGCUUCCAUUUCCCCUAGAGCACAGAACAGGAGCACAGCCCCAGAUGCUGCUGGGUUGGGGCCACUUUAUAAAGCCCCUCUGGACCUCCAGGACAUGGAAAAGAUGCAUGCAAUGCUCCCCUGGGGAAGUAGCAACCAGCCUGGAAUCUCAGGGACUCUUUGAAGAUGUGCGGGCAGGAGGGAGGAAAUUCUUGUAGCUGGGUGGGGUCAGAACACAGGCCUUUGCUCCUUGAUAGUAUUUUUAGAAAAGGAUCUUUGAAAAUGGGAAGGCAGGUAUGACAGCAGGGUGAUUCAUUGGCUGUGCCUCUGCACUGGAUGUCUUGGGGGCUGGGCAUGAGGUCCCGGACGCGUGUGGAUCACAGAAGGGCAUGGGCUGGUACCAUGAAGCAGGCAGGAACCCAGAGCACUGCAACUGCGCUGUGAACUCUUAGGUAGACCAGAGAGGUGAGGCGGGAACCUGGAAUUUGGAUGUACUUGCAGAGCUGGGAUGGCGCUGACACAGCCUCCUGUGUCACAGCUUCCAUCUCGGUGCGCGGGUCAGAAUGAGCACCAACGCACACGCAGGAUCAUGACUCACCUCCCGCCUGUCCCCCCUUGCCUUGCUGUCAGGCCUUACUGCUGAGAUACCACGUGUGUAGUUCUAUGUGUGCUUGGGCACUCAACAGAGAGAGAGCUGAGAUCUGCUCAGCUUUCUACUUAGCCAACGAAUGUCCCACCUUCUGAGACUUCCCAGGUGCAAAACCCAGCAUUCUCCUCCUAGUGAGAGGCAGCUGCCCUGCAGGGAUGGACAGGCACUAGCUGACCCUCCAGGCUGAGGCGAUGACAACCGGGAAAGAUUUUCCAUGCCUUUUUUGGUUCUACAAAAGAAAAAAAAAACAGGAAGACUGAAAGAAUGGUUUAUAAUUGAUUCUUAACAAGGAAGGAUAAUUAAACUAAUAAUAGUGCUAACGAUAAUAAUUACUAGAUGCAGUAGCAAACAUUCUUAAAUUCAGCAUUUCAACUAAUCCUCACAAGGACCCGCUGAGGUUGGUAUCAUUAGCUCCAUAUUUGAGCUGGAGAAACAGAGGCAGAGAGAGGCUGAAUUGCUUGCUUGCCUGACAUCGCACUGCUGGGAAGUGGCGCCAGUGUGGGAGCUGUCCUGGUUCAUGUGGGACACAGGGACAAUGACAAUUGGCCAGACAAGAAUGUCCUUGGGCUCCCACUAUCAAAUCCCACAGCUUCCCCUGUGUUUCUCUCUAUUCUUUCCCCUUUCUAAAUCGUGAGGAAGGCAAAGGUGGCCCUGCCUGUCCCAGGCUUGGGCAUACUGAGGGGCCCUUCUCCUCUCUCUGCUCCAGCUUUUCUUAUUCCCCAUCGGGUCCUCCCAUCAGCACUUACUGUCUCACGUCUCCCGUGAAAAAGAAACAGACAAAAGCUCUCUUCCUGGGGGGCUUCCUCCCUCUUCUCUGUGCUUCCUUCCUGUGCCACUAAAUUUCUAGCAAGAACUUGGGUGCGUCCACUUCACAGCCCGCUGCCAUUUGCAUUCUGCCCCCAUCAGCACGGCCCGGUCACCCAUCAGCUCAUAACUGAACCCAGCGUCCGCCUCUGUCCCUGUCCCGCUCGCCUUCUCGGAGGAUUCGAGAGCGGCCACUCCUUCCUGGCUGCAGCGCUCCCCUCUCUCCCUUUCCUCACGACACCUCCUCCUGAUUCUCCCUCUCUUCCCCCAGCCGCUCCUUCCCAGUUUGCUUUACAGAUGCUCCUCUUCCUGCCCACUCGUGAGGCUGAAUUUUAGGUGUCAGCUUGACUGGGGCGCGG
rnacentral:lncRNA from 1 species